rnacentral:lncRNA from 1 species
UGAAGUUGAACAACUAAAUUCAGAUAUUACAUGCCGGUUGACAAGUUCCUAAAUACUUUCGAUUAGUUCAAGAUCUGCUCUUUUAGGAGGAAUAACUCACAUUCUGCUUGUCUCCAUGACAAAUAAUCACAAAGAAUCUUUGGCUUUGGGUAACAUAGAACCUCUGCCUCAAACUGUGGUGGCUGCACCAGUUCUUUAUUUACUUUCCAGUUCAGCAUGUAAAAAUAAGUGAAACAUGAACAUGAAGAAAGGUUUAAUCUGCAUAAGAAGUUGCAUAUCUUAUCAAAGGCUAGACCAGUUGAAAACACAUACCGUAAAAAUUCAUAAAACUAAAUAAGUACCUCUCAUCUCUUUGAUAUAAUUCGGUGUUCUCUUGGAACAAAAAGCUGCAACAAUAACAAAAAAUAAACACAUACUGUUUGAACUUAGAAGGGCCCUGUAACAACAUAUUUUGCUGAUAAAUGAAGCGACAUUUCGAUUUGACAAUUAGCUUAUUAAUACUUGCCGAAGUACCAAUUUACUCAUUUUUCGUUGUUCAGAAUACAGAAUCAGUCAGUUUGUUGCUUACUUUGCCACUGAAUUUACCUUUUCCCAUAGCCAUCUGGGAUAAUGAUGUGGAAGCUUUCAGGGAGAUUUGAUCAUAUGCCCUUAUUUUAUUUUUGCAGGGGGUCAUAUGCCCUAUUUUAGUUCGCCAUAGAUCAUACGCCCUUGUUUUCUUUGCCAUCUUGGUCAUCUGCCAUGUCUAAUUACUUGAAUAAUUUCAAAAUUCUGAGCCUAGUAAUGCCACGUGAAAUGAAGGUCACACCCCUUGGUAAACUUGCAAUUUCUCUAAACACUACAUAUCUCAACAGAACCAACCAGUCCGACAUGUCUGUCCCAUUCAACAAAGUGACCACGAUCCAUUGCGCAGAUAUUCUACUUCACUAGCUUCAGUAGCAACACUAGAAGAAGAAUGACGAAAACAAAGUACACUAAAACCUGAAGCUUUGCAUUUUGGGCGGCCAACUUCUCGAUACGUCGAUCCAGUGCUGCAGUCUCAACCCUAAUAGCAUCAAUUUGAGCUCUUGUAGCAUCAAUUUGAGCUCUUGUAGCAUCAUUUUCAGCCCUCGUAGCAUCAAUACGUCGCUGCAUUUCUCGUGACACGCGGCGAGCAGACGCAUUGCCCAUGAUGAGCACAUUUAUCAUCCAAAUUUCCUCGACCAUGUCCAAGUACUUGUCCAGCCACAUGAAGAAACGCCAGUAUUUCACCUGUCAAAACAUACUGAAGUCAGUAAGUUGCUUGAACCAGACAUCAGUCAUAUGAUAUACGACUUGGCUCUGAACAUUAAAGAACAGAGAAGCAACCUUCAUAUCCUUGCCAUUCCUUGGGCAUUCCACUGAAUAUUUGCCCGGAUUCAGACAUGUCGCUGACUGCUUCACGAUUCUCUUCCACAUUCUGGACAUCCAGUCAGAGGGAGUCCCUUUGUGGGCGUCGGCUGGGAACAGAUACGAGUGCAAAGCUAGGGUUAGCGGAGCGAGCCAAGGCUGGAGCGAAAUUGAAAGGACAGAUGCAAUCGGUAGGUAGAAUCGGUUACCUAGUCGCCGGAGGUGCGGCACACGUGCUUGCCAGAUUCGCCGCCGGGCCCGUGGUGCUGGGGCAAUAGCGGCGCCUGUAGUGCCCGAGUAGCCGAGCCUCCUGCGGUUGCUUCCUGGUGGCUGGGGACUCCGCGCCUCCGGAGCCGCUGGAGUCGCCGUGCAACGCCGCCGCCCGCCGGAGUGGCUGCACAUCGGUGCUCACGAACAGAGGACGAGACGGGGGAUUUUUUUUUUUUUUGAGGGAGCUGGUUCGGUCGGUCGGUGGAUCCGUUUGGGUCGGGCUCCGUAUGAAAACAAGACCGACUCUACGUAGCUAAAUGCCCAUGAGAUAAAAUAUAUAUGAUAAGUAUUUUUUAUCCUAUGAGCACCUUCAAGAUGGGUCGGCACAACAUCUUAAUAUUUUAUUUUAAUUUUUUCGGAAAAACUUUAAAUCUAUUCAUCAACUAUCAAGGUAGUAUAUAAAGCAGAUCAGAAAUAUAAAAAAAUGCAUUAAUGUCCGCAGACCACCUAGCGACGACUACAAACACUGAAACGAGCCGAAGGCGCGUCGCCGCCAUUGCCCUUCCACACCGGAGUUGGUCAAACCUUGUUGUAGCAAACAGUCGAAAAGUCGUCGUGUUAAUGACCUACAGGAUUAGCGUACCAGAACAACAACCCGCCACCAAUGAAGAGAAGCGUAGAUCUAAAGGACCAAAUCCCGUGAGAUUUGUCGGAGACAAACCUCCAUCUAUCCUCCGACAAUGCAAAAAGCACCGCCGAGACGGGGGCUUGACGGGGAAAACCUUAUUCCAUCUUUAAGAAGACCGUUCAACCUGUUGUCAAAACUAAACUUGGCAACCUCAUGAGCCACCAUGUUAGCGUGCCGAUUGAUCUUGAUGAUCUUGAAAUUAUUCAUAAGCUUCAUAAUGCUUCAUGCUUCCUUCUUAAGAUCAACAAAAGUGGACCUUUCAAGAAAAUCAUUUGCAAGAAAGGAGACCACAAAAGAGCUAUCAAAUUCUACAAUAACGGGUUCGUUGAGACUGAUACCAACAUAAAGCCCAGCAAGGCACGCACGAAUCAUUGCUUCAUCAACACAUGUGCACGACAAUAAAAUCCCAAGAAGAAAGGAUGAUUUGACCCGUAUGAUCUCUGGCAACAACCCCCACGCUGGCAGCUUUCAUGCUCUCCACAAAGCUGGCAUCAAACCCAUUAACCAUUGCGCAAAGGGCGCACCCUCGCAACGUCCGCAUUGGCAGGAAGCACUGUUUCAUCGGGCGAAUUGUUAUGGGAGCCAGUCGGGAGAGAGAUCUGUGCCUGGCCAAUCGGCUUCAUCAGACCAGUUCCUGGUGUAGUGCGUCGUCGGCUGAAAGGCACCGGUUGGUUGUGCGCAUGGGGCGUUGGAGGCAUCGUGCGCACCCGAGUUGAGUGCACGAAGGUGGGAUCAUGUACCUCUGCCUCGUGGCAUUGUUUUUGUCUACUUUGGGCGUCGUCGUCUCUUUCUCCUUCACACACACGUCUCCUCCUCUCUUCCUUUCCCACUCGUGCACGCCACUUCCUCUCAUUCCUUCUCCCCUUUGUCUCAGCGCUCCUCAAUCUCCCACCGCGACCGCUCGAGAACGACGGCGAUGAGGAGGCCCGACCCUUGGCGCGGACCCGCGCCCCUGAGCAGUGGUGACGUCAGAUCUCUCUGCACUAGUAGAAAACGGAGCUUUAAUACCGGUUCAUAAGGGCCUUUAAUACCGGUUCUGCAACCGGCACUAAAGAGUGGAGACUAAAGCCCCCCCUCCCCCCCUUUAGUACCGGUUCGGCACAAACCGCCACUAAAGACCCACCACGUGGCGCGAGCUCGCGCCGUGGUAUGGACCUUUAAUACCGGUUGGUGUUACCAACCGGUACUAAAGGUAUUAUUAUUUUUGAUUUUGAAAAAAAAAUUGAUUUUUUUAUUUUCAAUUUUUUGAAUUAUUUGAUGAUUUAGUCUCUAAUUGCCCCUCUUAACUACUCAAGUGUGGAUCAUUCAUUCCAAAUCGUCUAACUUCUCGCCCGGUCACCCAUCCUCUCACUCCCCCAGUCUGAGCACGCUUAACUUCGGAGUUCUAUUCUCCCUACUUUCCAAGUCUGCACUUGUUGUUUUCCUGACAAAUGUAAGCUGUAAAUCCUAUUAACCCUCAGCAGUUUAGUUUGAGCAUUAGGUCACACAUUUCACCGUUUGAGUUUUAAACUAUUAUUUAAAAAAACAGUAAUUAUUUAGUAACACUAAUAUUUCUGAAAUAAGUUUGACCACAGUUUGACCAUAGUUUGACCAGAUUUGACCAAAAUUCAAAAAAUUGAAAUAAUUAUUUAGUAAUACUAAUAUUCUUGAAUAAGUAUGUAGUAACAUUAAUACUUCUUGAAUAAGUAGUUUGACCAUAGUUUGACCAGAUUUAACCAAAAUUAAAAAAAACUUAAAUCUGAGCAUAUCUUUUUCUCCUUUUGGUAUUUGAGGAUUCUAAAAAAUUGCAAAUAGGCCGUAAGCUGUCAAAAUCGGAUGCGGAUUUUCGUGCUGAUUUUUUUUUAUAUUAUACGUUUUUUUCCGACAUUGUAUGCAAAAGUUAUAGCCGUUUUACAUUUCCCCUACACUUUUUGCAAAACAUGUCCAAAUUUAAGUUUUUUAAUUUUCCUAACUAGUAGAUGUAGUAAUAUAACUACAUCUCGAAGAAUUUUAUUUUUUGAAUUCUUUAUCAUUUUCUUUUGUAUUUUUCAAAACCGAAAUGGCGAUAUACAGGGGGGUAGAGAUUUAAAAUUGCUCUUUAGUACCGGUUUGUGCCACGAACCGGUAUUAUAGGUCAAAACCCUUUAGUACCGGUUCGUGGCACGAACCGGUACUAAAGGUUAGCCCUUUAGUACCGGUUUGUGCCACGAACCGGUACUAAAGGUGAUCGCGGGGCCCCGGCCUAACGCCAGCCUGCCACCACCCCUUUAGUACCGGUUCAUGGCACGAACCGGUACUAAAGGUUCAAAACGAACCGGCAUUAAUGCAUAGCCGUUCGAACCGUCACUAAUGGUACCAUUAGUACCAGACCAAAAUCGAACCGGCACUAAUGUGUCUCACAUUAGGUCCUUUUUCUACUAGUGCUGUCUCGCGAGGCCGGCCAUCCCGUCUGUGUUGCGACGCCGCCGGUAUGAAGGCCGGGCUCCGGCAGCCAACGCGGUGUCAUGUGCGCCCGCGGGGGCUCUGGGGACCGCGUGCGGGGGACUGCGCAACGUCCAGUCGUGGGUUCUGCUAAUGCCAAGCCGUAGAUCUGAGCUGCUGUCUCCACUUCCUCCUUCCUGACUUCAAAGUAUGAUCAGCUAGAUCAUUUCUUCUCAUCAGACGCACCACCAGUUUGUCUUGGUUGCUAAAAUCAAUCAAUGCCUCCAAGGUAUGGAGGGGACGGGGCCUUCCCAAUUAUGGGUAUUCAGAUCUGCCCUACUCAUGGCAGCAUAAUGUAUUUUGUCAUAGGUUACCAAUUAUUGUUGUGAGAUGAGCCAACUUGUAGAUUUUUCAAAAGGGAUCCUGAAUUCUCUGACUACAAGUUCAGAAAGACAACAAGAUAACACAUGGACAACUUGAUUCAGUGGUUUGUAAGUUGCUGCAUGAUGCUAACUUGGGAAAUCUCUCUAUUGGCUAUGAAAGCAUGCAUUUGCAUAUUGCAGCUGGGUGAUUGUUGAAACAAUAUCCUUUUUUCUUUUGAUGAUUUUUAUUCUUAACUGCUUUGGCAGGGAUCCUCCAUAUCAAGGGAAGAGCGGGGUAGUGUGGGCGAGGGAAGUCCUUGUGUACCAGGUGGAGCUCCUCGUUCCUCUCAUUCUCCCCCUUUUGAUUAUGCCUGCCUCACUUCCAUGUCUCUUCGGCCCUUUUAUUUCUCUUAACAUUUUUCUAAAUGUCAUAAUUGUCACAAUUGUGCAGGUUUCUGAAAGAAACACGAAAGGAAACAAGAUCGAAUAUGGUGAAUCCUAAUGCUUUACGUGCACAACGCGAAUCCUUGGCGUUGCUUAUUCAUGUGGAUGCGUGCCCCUUGCAUGUACAUGUUUCUUUCCUCUCUCUCCCUGCACACACGCUGCACAUACGGAACAUGCAUGCCGACUUUAUCUUCCCUCUCCCUUCUAAUUAAAUCACCUUUUGUUUUGCUUUGACAAUUUAGAUGGUUCAUAUCUUUCAAACCAAAAUUGUGUUUUUAAAACUUUUUAUAUAUUUGAACUCGUGGUGCCAGGCCCUUUAGAACAAGAUCAGGUACGGGAGCUCUCAAAGCGAACGCUACGCUCUCGAGACGUAGGGAACUCUCAUGUGAAGAAGGUAAGUGCAAGAUGGGCCAGCCCAGGCGCCCGGGAGCUACAACCUUGUUUUUCCUUUCAUGAUUUUUUUCUUUUUAGCUUUUUUUACUUUUAUUUAUACUUCCAAAUAUGAUAAUAAAUAGAUUACAAAAAAUUACGUAAAAUAUUUGGAAAAAAUGUUAACCAAAGCGUUCAAUUUUUUUAAAUGGUUUUUUUGCGGGAUUUUUUUUAAAAAUGUUAACCAAGCAUUUGAAAAAAAAUGUUAAAUAUGUUAACCAAGCGUUUGAAAAAAAUGUUAAAUAUGUUAACCAAGCUUUUCCAAAAAAUUGUGUCUCAUGUAUUAAAAAUAUAUACAAUGUGUGUGAUAAAUGUUGAUCAUGUAUUUAAAAAUGGUAAUCCAGCAUUUGAAAAAUAUUGAGCAUGUAUUCAAAAAAUAUUAAUCUUCUAUUUCAAAAAAUUUAAUCAAGCAUUUGAAAAAUGCUAAAUGUGUAUAGAAAAAAAUGUUAACCAUGUUUUAGAAAAUGUUAAUCUUGUACUUGAAAAAUGUUAGUCAAGCAUUUGAAAAAAUGUUAAACUUCUAUUUGAAAGAUUUUAAACAUGUAUUACAAAAAUGUAUUAAAUAAAUACCCAAAAUGUAUCAUGUGUACGAAAAUAUAGAUAUAAAAAUAUAAAUUUUCAAAGAAUGUUUAUCAUGUAGUUCAACAUGCUAAACAUGUAUAUAAAAAUAUUUCUGAUGUAUACAAGAAUAUUGAAUGUGUACUAACCGAUGUUUUCGAGUCGACGUGUCGACGGGNNNNNNNNNNNNNNNNNNNNNNNNNNNNNNNNNNNNNNNNNNNNNNNNNNNNNNNNNNNNNNNNNNNNNNNNNNNNNNNNNNNNNNNNNNNNNNNNNNNNNNNNNNNNNNNNNNNNNNNNNNNNNNNNNNNNNNNNNNNNNNNNNNNNNNNNNNNNNNNNNNNNNNNNNNNNNNNNNNNNNNNNNNNNNNNNNNNNNNNNNNNNNNNNNNNNNNNNNNNNNNNNNNNNNNNNNNNNNNNNNNNNNNNNNNNNNNNNNNNNNNNNNNNNNNNNNNNNNNNNNNNNNNNNNNNNNNNNNNNNNNNUGACUAGUCUAGACUCACCGUCGACGAGUCGACGUGACUUAAGCAGUAGGUAGUAGGUACAUUAAGUAAAUGCAACCAGAUUCAAAUGCAAGGAAAUAAGUUCAACACUUCAAGUCUUCAACACCAAAACAUGAAUGACAGAUUCAAAUGCAAGGAAAUAAGUUCAACACUUCAAGUCUUCAAUCAAUCAAGCCUCAAGCUCCAUGUCUUCAAGCUGAAAAUCGGUGUCUUCAUCAUCUGGUGAUUCAACAUCGUCUUCAUCGCUGCUCUCCAUGUCUUUGUCAUAUUCUGCUGCUUCUAAUUCAGCCCUCAACUCUUCAUCAUGCACAACCAACCUUGUUCUUGUGUUGUUCCGAGUGUAGGUGAUGUAAGGGCGUAUGGGUCGUGCAAUAGACUCGCUAGGAUCACCACGAGCUCUCCUAGGAUAGUUGCGGCCUGCUAGAGAAGUUGACGCACCCAUGGCUUCAUCAACCUGAGACAAAAGUAGUGGUGUUUCACCGUCCAUGACUUGAGCCUGAUCUUCAUGUACUAUUUCAGCAUUGAUAUCAACCCGUUCAUUAUCCCAUUCGAAUUCUUCUAGGACAAGUGGACUAGAUUUCUUUGCUUUAGAGCCUUGCUCACGCAGAUUCUGAAACCUAGCUUCCAUUUUUCGGUUGUACGAGACAUAUGAUAGCUUGUUCAAUCUCUUGUACUCUAGACGGUUUCUCCCUUUGGUGUGGAUCUGCAAGCACACAAACAUGUGAGAAGCUGCUGGAAUUAGCCUAUCAAACCAGCCAACUAAUGGCUACUUACAUGAGCAAAUACACUCCAAUUGCGCUCGCAGCCGGAUGCUGAACAACAUAGACUAAUGAUUCGCUUUGCAAGAGUUUGGAGGUCAAAAGCAAGGCCACCAUAAGCAUUCCACCAAAGAACUACAAAACCAAGAAGUCCCACAUUAAAGAUAAGGCCACAAAAACUAGCAAUUAGUGGAGUAAUUGAGCUGAACAAGAAGACACAAGCUGCCAUAAAAUUUAUGCUUACGAGGGUUUUUUUGUCACAUACUUUAAUUAACAAUGGCUUCGAGAAACAUUCACUCCCCAGCUCAUAGUCGUCAGCUUCCCUACUUAUAGUUCUUUGCUGCUCAUCAUCGGGCACCAUCUUCCAUAGCACAUCAUUGAACAUUGAACGGAGACGGGAAGCUUGUCUUUUGUUGGACUCCUUAAUGGCAAAGAAUUUAUUUGGGUUCAAGAACAAAGAAGCCCCAUGUAGCUUUUGUUCCAUCUGAUUAUCCCACCUCUUAUCAACAAUAGCUACCACUUGACCUAGGAGGUUUGGCUUAUGUGUCAAAGCUUCCUUUAUGUGUGUCUUUGCAAAAUCCAUGGUUGCCCACAUUUCUGCCAUAGCCGGGGUCUCAUCACCAUCAGCGAUCCUCAAAGCUCUAAGAAGUGGUUGUGAAGCUCUCAUGCAAUGCUCCACUGAUUGCCAAAAUGACACGGAGAUCACAGUUGCUUCAGCCGCCUUCCUGUUGGGGAACGUUGCAGAAAAUAAAAAAUUUCUACGCUUCACCAAGAUCAAUCUAUGGAGUCAUCUAGCAACGAGAGAGAUGAGUGCAUCUACGUACCCUUGUAGAUCACGCGCGGAAGCGUUCAAGAGAACGGGUUUGAGGGAGUUGUACUCGUCGUGAUCCAAAUCACCGAAGAUCCUAGUGCCGAACGGACGACACCUUCGCGUUCAACACACGUACGGUUGGGGAAGACGUCUCCUCCUUCUUGAUCCAGCAAGGGGAAGGGAGAGGUUGAUGGAGAUCCAGCAGCACGACGGCGUGGUGGUGGAAGUAGCGGCGAUCUCGGCAGGGCUUCGCCAAGCUCAGCGAUAGGGAGAGGUGUUAUGAGGGGAGAGGGACGCGCCAGGAGCAGGGGUGCGCAGCCCUCCCUCCCCCCUCUUUAUAUAGGGGCCCUGGGGGCGCCGACCCCCUAGAGAUCCCAUCUCAAGGGGGGGCGACGGUCAAGGGGGGAACUUGGCCCCCAAGCCAAGUGGGGCGCCCCCCCACCCCUAGGGUUUCCAACCCUAGGCGCAGGGGAGGCCCAAGGGGGGCGCACCAGCCCACCAGGGGCUGAUUCCCCUCCCACUUCAGCCCAUGGGGCCCUACGGGAUAGGUGGCCCCACCCGGUGGACCCCCGGGACCCUUCCGGUGGUCCCGGUACAAUACUGGUGACCCCGAAACUUUCCUGGUAGCCGAAACUGGACUUCCUAUAUACAAUUCUUCACCUCCGGACCAUUCUGGGACUCCUCGUGACGUCCGGGAUAUCAUCUGGGACUCCGAACAACUUUCGGGUUACUGCAUACUAAUAUCUCUACAACCCUAGCGUCACCGAACCUAAAGUGUGUAGACCCUACGGGUUCGGGAGACACGCAGACAUGAUCGAGACGACUCUUUGGUCCAUAACCAACAGCGGGAUCUUGAUACCCAUGUUGGCUCCCACAUGCUCCUCGAUGAUCUCAUUGGAUGAACCACGAUGUCGAGGAUUCAAGUAAUCAUGUAUACAAUUCCCUUUGUCAAUCGGUACGUUACUUGCCCGAGAUUCGAUCGUUGGUAUCCUAAUACCUCGUUCAAUCUUGUUACCAGCAAGUCACUUUACUCGUACCGAAUGCAUGAUCUUGUGACCAACCACUUAGUCGCUUUGAGCUCAUUAUGAUGAUGCAUUACCGAGUGGGCCCAGAGAUACCUCUCCGUCAUACGGAGUGACAAAUCCCAAUCUCGAUCCGUGUCAACCCAACAGAUACUUUCGGGGAUACUUGUAGUAUACCUUUAUAGUCACCCAGUUAUGUUGUGACGUUUGGUACACCCAAAGCACUCCUACGGCAUCUGGGAGUUACAUGAUCUCAUGGUAUAAGGAAAUGAUACUUGACAUGGGAAAAGCUCUAGCAAACGAACUACACGAUCUUGUGCUAUGCUUAGGAUUGGGUCUUGUCCAUCACAUCAUUCUCCUAAUGAUGUGAUCCCGUUAUCAAUGACAUCCAAUGUCCAUAGUCAGGAAACCAUGACUAUUUGUUGAUCAACGAGCUAGUCAACUAGAGGCUCACUAGGGACAUGUUAUGGUCUAUGUAUUCACACAUGUAUUAUGAUUUCCAGAUAACACAAUUAUAGCAUGAAUAAUAGACAAUUAUCAUGAACGAGGAAAUAUAAUAAUAAUCAUUUUAUUAUUGCCUCUAGGGCAUAUUUCCAACAGUCUCCCACUUGCACUAGAGUCAAUAAUCUAGUUACAUUGUGAUGAAUCGAACACCCAUAGAGUUCUGUUGUUGAUCAUGUUUUGCUCGUGGAAGAGGUUUAGUCAACGGAUCUGCGACAUUCAGAUCCGUAUGCACUUUGCAAAUAUCUAUGUCCCCAUCUUGAACAUUUUCACGAGUGGAGUUGAAGCGACGCUUGAUGUGACUGGUCUUCUUGUGAAACCUGGGCUCCUUGGCAAGGGCAAUAGCUCCAGUGUUGUCGUAGAAGAGAGUGAUCGGCCCCGACGCAUUGGGUAUGACUCCUAGGUCGGUGAUGAACUUCUUCAUCCAGAUUGCUUCAUGCGCUGCCUCCGGGGCUGCCAUGUACUCCGCUUCACAUGUAGAUCCCGCCACGACGCUUUGCUUGCAACUGCACCAGCUUACUGCCCCACCAUUCAAAAUAUACAUGUAUCCGGUUUGUGACUUAGAGUCAUCCAGAUCUGUGUCGAAGCUAGCGUCGACGUAACCCUUUACGACGAGCUCUUCGUCACCUCCAUAUACGAGAAACAUAUCCUUAGUCCUUUUCAGGUACUUCAGGAUAUUCUUGACCAUUGUCCAGUGUUCCAUGCCGGGAUUACUUUGGUACCUUCCUACCAAACUUACGGCAAGGUUUACAUCAGGUCUGGUACACAACAUGGCAUACAUGAUAGACCCUAUGGCCGAGGCAUAGGGGACAACACUCAUCUUUUCUUUAUCUUCUGCCGUGGUCGGACAUUGAGCCGAGCUCAAUUUCACACCUUGCAACACAGGCAAGAACCCCUUCUUGGACUGAUCCAUAUUGAACUUCUUCAAUAUCUUAUCAAGGUAUGUGCUUUGUGAAAGACCUAUGAGGCGUCUCGAUCUAUCUCAAUAGAUCUUGAUGCCUAAUAUGUAAGCAGCUUCCCCAAGGUCCUUCAUUGAAAAACACUUAUUCAAGUAGGCCUUAAUGCUGUCCAAAAGUUCUAUAUCAUUUCCCAUCAAAAGUAUGUCAUCCACAUAUAAUAUGAGAAAUGCUACAGAGCUCCCAGUCACUUUCUUGUAAAUGCAGGCUUCUCCAUAAGUCUGCAUAAACCCAAACGCUUUGAUCAUUUCAUUAAAGUGAAUGUUCCAACUCCGAGAUGCCUGCACCAGCCCAUAGAUGGAGCGCUAGAGCUUGCAUACCUUGUUAGCAUUCUUAGGAUCGACAAAACCUUCCGGCUGCAUCAUAUACAAUUCUUCCUUAAGAAAGCCAUUAAGGAAUGUCGUUUUGACGUCCAUUUGCCAUAUCUCAUAAUCAUAGUAUGCGGCAAUUGCUAACAUGAUUCGGAUGGACUUCAGCUUCGCUACGGGAGAGAAAGUCUCAUCAUAGUCAACCCAUUGAACUUGUCGAUAACCCUUAGCGACAAGUCGAGCUUUAUAGAUGGUAACAUUACCAUCCGCGUCCGUCUUCUUCUUAAAGAUCCAUUUGUUUUCUAUCGCUCGCCGAUCAUCGGGCAAGUCUGUCAAAGUCCAUACUUUGUUUUCAUACAUGGAUCCUAUCUCGGAUUGCAUGGCUUCAAGCCAUAUGUUGGAAUCCGGGCCCGCCAUUGCUUCUUCAUAGUUCGAAGGUUCACCGUUGUCUAACAACAUGAUUUCCAGGACAGGGUUGCCAUACCACUCUGGUGUGGAACGUGUCCUCGUGGACCUACGAAGUUCGGUAGUAAUUUGAUCCGAAGUACCUUGAUCAUCAUCAUUAAUUUUCUCUCUAGUCGGUGCAGGCACCACAGGAACAUCUUCCUGAGCUGCAGUACUUUCCGGUUCAAGAGGUAGUACUUCAUCAAGUUCCACUUUCCUCCCACUUACUUCUUUCGAGAGAAACUCUUUCUCCAGAAAGGACCCGUUCUUGGCAACAAAGAUCUUUCCUUCGGAUCUGAGGUAGAAGGUAUACCCAAUGGUUUCCUUAGGGUAUCCUAUGAAGACGCAUUUUUCCAACUUGGGUUUGAGCUUUUCAGGUUGAAGUUUCUUGACAUAAGCAUCGCAUCCCCAAACUUUUAGAAACGACGUCUUAGGUUUCUUCCCAAACCAUAAUUCAUACGGUGUCGUCUCAACGGAUUUAGACGGUGCCCUAUUUAAAGUGAAUGUAGCUAUCUCUAGAGCGUAUCCCCAAAAUGAUAGCGGUAAGUCGGUGAGUGACAUCAUAGAUCGCACCAUAUCCAAUAGUGUGCGAUUACGACGUUCGGACACACCGUUACGCUGAGGUGUUCCAGGCGGCGUGAGUUGUGAAAUGAUUCCACAUUUCCUUAAGUGCGUACCAAAUUCGUGACUUAAAUAUUCUCCCCCACGAUCUGAUCGUAAGAACUUUAUCUUCCGGUCACGUUGAUUCUCUACCUCAUUCUGAAAUUCCUUGAACUUUUCAAAGGUCUCAGACUUGUGUUUCAUCAAGUAGACAUACCCAUAUCUACUCAAGUCGUCUGUGAGAGUGAGAACAUAACGAUAGCCUCCGCAAGCCUCAAAGCUCAUUGGAUCGCACACAUCAGUAUGUAUGAUUUCCAAUAAGUUGGUUGCUCGCUCCAUUGUUUCGGAGAACGGAGUCUUGGUCAUUUUGCCCAUGAGGCAUGGUUCGCAUGUGUCAAAUGAUUCGUAAUCGAGAGACUAUAAAAGUCCAUCAGCAUGGAGCUUCUUCAUGCGCUUGACACCAAUGUGACCAAAGCGGCAGUGCCACAAGUAUGUGGGACUAUCAUUAUCAACCUUACAUCUUUUGGUAUUCACACUAUGAAUAUGUGUAACAUCACAUUCGAGAUUCGUUAAGAAUAAACCAUUGACCAGUGGGGCAUGACCACAAAACAUAUCUCUCAUAUAAAUAGAACAACCAUUAUUUUCGGAUUUAAAUGAGUAGCCAUCUCGUAUUAAACGAGAUCCAAAUACAAUGUUCAUGCUCAAAGCUGGCACUAAAUAAUAAUAAUUGAGGUUUAAAACUAAUCUCGUAGGUAAAUGUAGAGGUAGCGUGCCGACGCGAUCACAUCGACCUUGGAACCAUUCCCGACGCGCAUCAUCACCUCGUCCUUCGCCGGUCUUCGCUUAUUUCGUAGCUCCUGUUUUGAGUUACAAAUAUGAGCAACUGCACCGGUAUCAAAUACCCAGGAGCUACUACGAGUACUAGUAAGGUACACAUCAAUUACAUGUAUAUCAUAUAUACCUUUAGUGUUGCCGGCCUUCUUGUCCGCUAAGUAUUUGGGGCAGUUCCGCUUCCAGUGUCCCUUUCCCUUGCAAUAAAAGUACUCAGUCUCAGGUUUGGGUCCAUUCUUUGGCUUCUUCCCGGCAACUUGUUUACCGGGCGCGGCAACUCCCUUGCCGACCUUCUUGAAGUUCUUCUUACCCUUGCCUUUCUUGAAACUAGUGGUUUUAUUGACCAUCAACACUUGAUGUUCCUUUUUGAUUUCCACCUCCGCUGAUUUCAGCAUUGAAAAUACUUCAGGAAUAGUUUUCACCAUCCCCUGCAUAUUGUAGUUCAUCACAAAGCUCUUGUAGCUAGGUGGGAGCAACUGAAGGAUUCUGUCAAUGACCGCCUCGUCCGGGAGGUUAAUGUCUAGCUGGGACAAGCGGUUGUGCAACCCAGACAUUUUGAGUAUGUGCUCACUGACAGAACUAUUUUCCUCCAUCUUACAACUGUAGAACUUGUCGAAGACUUCAUAUCUCUCGACCCGGGCAUGAGCUUGGAAAACUAUUUUCAGCUCUUCGAACAUCUCAUAUGCUCUAUGUUGCUCAAAACGCUUUUGGAGCCCCGGUUCUAAGCUGUAAAGCAUGCCGCACUGAACGAGGGAGUAAUCAUCAGCACACGACUGCCAAGCAUUCAUAAUGUCUUGGUUCUCUGGGAUGGGUGCUUAACCUAGCGGUCCUUCUAGGACAUAUGCUUUCUUGGCAGCUAUGAGGAUGAUCCUCAGGUUCCGGACCUAGUCCGUAUAGUUGUUACCAUCAUCUUUCAGCUUGGUUUUCUCUAGGAACGCGUUGAAGUUGAGGUUGACAUGAGCGUUGGCCAUUUGAUCUACAAGACAUUUUGCAAAGGUUUUUAGACUAAGUUCAUGAUAAUUAAGUUCAUCUAAUCAAAUUAUUUAAUGAACUCCCACUCAGAUUAGACAUCCCUCUAGUCAUCUAAGUGAUACAUGACCCGACUCAACUAGACCGUGUCCGAUCAUCAUGCGAGACGUACUAGUCAUCAUCGGUGAACAUCUCCAUGUUGAUCGUAUCUUCCAUAUGACUCAUGUUCGACCUUUCGGUCUCUUGUGUUCUGAGGCCAUGUCUGUACAUGCUAGGCUCGUCAAGUCAACCUAAGUGUGUUGCAUGUGUAAAUCAGUCUUACACCCGUUGUAUGUGGACGUUGGAAUCUAUCACACCCGAUCAUCACGUGGUGCUUCGAAAGAACGAACUUUCGCAACGGCGCACAGUUAGGGGGAACACUUUCUUGAAAUUAUUGUGAGGGAUCAUCUUAUUUACUACCGUCGUUCUAAGCAAAUAAGAUGCAAAAACAUGAUAAACAUCACAUGCAAUCAAAUAGUGACAUGAUAUGGCCAAUAUCAUUUUGCUCCUUUUGAUCUCCAUCUUCGAGGCGCCAUGAUCAUCAUCGUCACCGGCAUGACACCAUGAUCUCCAUCAUCAUGAUCUCCAUUAUCGUGUCUUCAUGAAGUUGUCACGCCAACGAUUACUUCUACUUCUAUGGCUAACGGUUUAGCAAUAAAGUAAAGUAAUUACAUGGCGUUAUUCAAUGACACGCAGGUCAUACAAAAAAUAAAGACAACUCCUAUGGCUCCUGCCAGUUGUCAUACUCAUCGACAUGCAAGUCGUGAUUCCUAUUACAAGAACAUGAUCAUUCUCAUACAUCACAUAUAUUUCAUUCAUCACAUCCUUUUGGCCAUAUCACAUCACAAGGCAUAUGCUGCAAAAACAAGUUAGGCGUCCUCUAAUUGUUGUUGCAUAUUUUUACGUGGCUGCUAUAGGUUACUAGCAAGAACGUUUCUUACCUACGCCAAAACCACAACGUGAUAUGCCAAUUUCUAUUUACCCUUCAUAAGGACCCUUUUCAUCGAAUCCGAUCCGACUAAAGUGGGAGAGAUAGACACCCGCUAGCCACCUUAUGCAACUAGUGCAUGUCAGUCGGUGGAACCUGUCUCACGUAAGUGUACGUGUAAGGUCGGUCCGGGCCGCUUCAUCCCGCGAUGUCGCCGAAACAAGAUAAGACUAGUAGUGGCAAGAAAAUUGACAACAUCUACGCCCACAACAAGAUUGUGUUCUACUCGUGCAUAGAAACUACGCAUAGACCUAGCUCAUGAUGCCACUGUUGGGGAACGUUGCAGAAAAUAAAAAAUUUCUACACUUCACCAAGAUCAAUCUAUGGAGUCAUCUAGCAACAAGAGAGAGGAGUGCAUCUACAUACCCUUGUAGAUCACGCGCGGAAGCAUUCAAGAGAACGGGGUUGAGGGAGUCGUACUCGUCGUGAUCCAAAUCACAGAAGAUCCUAGUGCCGAACGGACGGCACCUCCGCGUUCAACUCAUGUACGGUUGGGGAAGACGUCUCCUCCUUCUUGAUCCAGCAAGGGGAAGGGAGAGGUUGAUGGAGAUCCAGCAGCACGACGGCGUGGUGGUGGAAGUAGCGCCGAUCUCGGCAGGGCUUCGCCAAGCUCAGCGAGAGGGAGAGGUGUUACGAGGGGAGAGGGAGGCGCCAGGAGCAGAGGUGAGCAGCCCUCCCUCCCCUCCUCUUUAUUUAGGGGCCCUGGGGGGGCACCGGUCCCCUAGAGAUCCCAUCUCAAGGGGGGGCGGCGGCCAAGGGGGGAACUUGCCCCCCAAGGCAAGUAGGGCGCCCCCCCCCCCCCGCCCCUAGGGUUUCCAACCCUAGACGCAAGGGAGGCCCAAGGGGGGCGCACCAGCCCACCAGGGGCUGGUUCCCCUCCCACUUCAGCCCAUGAGGCCCUCCGGGAUAGGUGGCCCCACCCGGUGGAUCCUCGGGACCCUUCCGGUGGUCCCGGUACAAUACCGGUGACCCCGAAACUUUCCCGGUAGCCGAAACUGGACUUCCUAUAUACAAUUCUUCACCUCCAGACCAUUCCGGAACUCCUCGUGACAUCCGGGAUCUCAUCCGGGACUCCGAACAACUUUCGGAUUACCGCAUACUAAUAUGUCUACAACCCUAGCGUCACCGAACCUUAAGUGUGUAGACCCUACGGGUUCGGGAGACACGCAGACAUGACCAAGAUGACUCUCCGGUCAAUAACCAACAGCGGGAUCUGGAUACCCAUGCUGGCUCCCACAUGCUCCUUGAUGAUCUCAUCGGAUGAACCACGAUGUCGAGGAUUCAAGUAAUCCAGUAUACAAUUCCCUUUGUCAAUCGGUACAUUACUUGCCCGAGAUUCGAUCGUCGGUAUCCCGAUACCUUGUUCAAUCUCAUUACCGGCAAGUCAAUUUACUUGUACCGUAAUGCAUGAUCCCGUGACCAACCACUUAGUCACUUUGAGCUCAUUAUGAUGAUGCAUUACCGAGUGGUCCCAGAGAUACCUCUCCGUCAUACGGAGUGAGAAAUCCCAGUCUCGAUCCGUAUGAACCCAACAGAUAGUUUUGGGGAUACCUGUAGUAUACCUUUAUAGUCACCCAGUUACGUUGUGACAUUUGGUGCACCCAAAGCACUCCUACGGUAUCCGAGAGUUACACGAUCUCAUGGUCUAAGGAAAUGAUACUUGACAUUGGAAAAGCUCUAGCAAACGAACUACACUAUCUUGUGCUAUGCUUAGGAUUGGGUCUUGUCCAUCACAUCAUUCUCCUAAUGAUGUGAUCCCGUUAUCAAUGACAUCCAAUGUCCAUAGUCAGGAAACCAUGACUAUCUGUUGAUCAACGAGCUAGUCAACUAGAGGCUCACUAGGGACAUGUUAUGGUCUAUGUAUUCACACAUGUAUUAUGAUUUCCGGAUAACACAAUUAUACCAUGAAUAAUAGACAAUUAUCAUGAACGAGGAAAUAUAAUAAUAAUCAUUUUAUUAUUGCCUCUAGGGCAUAUUUCCAACACUUCCCUCCUUCGCCGUCCUUUAAUCUAUUUGCAUACCAUUGUGGGCUAACAAAGAGAGUUUUCAAUGUCUACCUUUGCUUCCACAUGCUUGCCAAAGUAAGGAAUGACGUAGCAAAACGAGUUGCUCCAGGCCUCACAAUUUCUUGCUUACCAUUCAAGUUUCUCAUUAAAUGAAGAACCUUUCCAUGGGCAUAAAUAAAUCUGGUUGUUCUCUUUGCUUUAGCAAUGCAAUGGCUGAACGCUUUGAUCUUCCCAAUGUCCUCUAGCAUAAGAUCCAAAAAGUGGGCAGCACAAGGUGUCCAAUACAUUGUAGGAUACUUUUCCAUUAGAAGUCUACCGGCUGCCUUGUAGUUAGACCCAUUAUCGCUAACUACUUGGACUACCAAUUCAGGGCCAAUUGCAUCAAUUUGUUCGCUCGACAGCUUUGCCACCAGAUUUGCAUCAACGGUUUCAGAAGAAACAUUGGCUGUCCUUAAGAAGAAGGUGCCUUCUGGACUAUUGACGAGGAAGUUGAUCAAGUGCCGCCCAGUCAUGUCCGUCCAGCCAUCUGACAUGAGUGAACAACCAUAUUCUUUCCAUGCAACUUCAUGCUUCCCUUUCAAGUUGUUGGUCUUGAUAUUUGCCUUCUCAAGCAAUGGUUCCCUCACUUGAUGAUAAGUAGGAGAUAUAUAAUCAGAGCCACUGUGCCCUAUAGAUUCCAAUAGAAUCUCCCAACUCCUUGAAUUGACAAUAUUGAGUGGAAGGCAAUUCUCAUACAAAAAGUCAGCUACAUGACCAUCUACAUCAUAUUUUUGCUCCUUUGUCUUCUUCUUGUAAUCCCUCAUGUUCUUUUGAGUGCCCUUUGGCAUAUGUCUCUCGGCAACCACCUCUUCCGGUGUCUUCCGAAUCUGAUCUGCAAUGGACUUUCCUUGCUUCUUUGCCACCGUCGCUGCCAUGAGUAGUCCCCUCUGAUUCCUUUUCGUGGAGGCGUUGGGGUUGGAGUUGGAAGCUCUUGAACUUCCUGCACGGUUCUCUUGUUCAGCACCUUCUUCACCAUCUUCUUAACCACCUUCAUCUCCAUCAAGAUUUUUGAAACGGAAUGAGUGAGUCUUCAAGUAGUCGUGCAUCUCCUUUCGAAUUGCAGGGGUUGUCUUGGUACACAUACUCACAAUUGUAAACCCCCAGCAAGGUGUUUCUUCAUCCUACAAGGUCCAGAGGUAAUUUGCUUGCCGCACAAAUUACACUGCAGCAACAUAAGAUCUGGCCAGAAUGCAUAUUUCCAUGCUGGAUCCUUGCUCUUUGUUGGCCUCCUCUUAGGGUCUUUGAAUGGAUCAUAGUGCUCAUCGGCUUCUUCUGCAACUUGAGCUGAUCGAACAACUUGGGCUUUCUCUGGCUGGGAGGACAUGGUGCUUGCUGUGAAUCUGUGAUAUAAGGAAAGAUAACUCCACUUAGUUGUUUUUUUUCACCAAAUCAAGCCCUAAGCUACCUAGCAGAAACACUAGAGGUCCUCCCAGCAGCAGCAGCAUCUAGAUCAGAGCAAAAGGAAAAGAGAGGAAAAGGGAUGCAUGAUAGUACUUACCAAGUUACCAGGGGAGGAGCACACAGCAGCAGCAGCAACAACAACCAGGGGAGGAGUGGAGGAGCACAACAGCAGCAGCAACAUCAACCAGGGGAGGAGUGGAAGAGCACAACAACAGCAACAUCAACUAGGGGAGGAGUGGAGGAGCACAGCAGCAGCAGCAGCAGCAACCAGAGGAGGAGGGAAGGAGCACAGCAGCAGCAACCGAAGGAGGAGGGGAGGCAGCCGCCAGGGAGAGGGUUAGGUCAGGGUGAGGGGGAAUGGAUCCUCUAUAGGGUUUCCAGGGGUGGGAUGGGCUGAUGGGCCAAGCAAAUACUGUUACAAAAACACAUAACUGUUGGGGGUCCAAAAUAAGUGAGUCGCUCGACUCAGACAUAGCGACUAGUCGUGACUAGUAGAGACUAGUGCUCGACUCAUGCUAGGAGUUGAGUCGAGAGCCUGAGUCGCUCCUGCACUGGCGACUCAUCGACUAUUCGACGACUAGUCGCGACUAAUCGAGCGACUCGAAAACAGAGGUACUAACACGUAUUGAACAAAAAUAACUGAUGAAAAUAAAAAAACAAAGAGAAGCAAAGAAACCCAAUAAAAACGAAAAAUAAACACAAAGAAAACAAACAAACAAAAAACCGAAGAAACCAAUGCAAAAGAAUGAAACCAAAAAACCCGAGAAAGAAACGAAGAAAACCGAUGAAAACCAAGAAAGAAACCAAGAAAGAAGAAAACCAAGAAAGAAAAAGAUGAAGAAAACAAAUCAGUGAAAACCAGAAAGAAAUGAAGAAACCAAUGGAAAAGCAAAGGAAACAGAAAAAUCGCAGAAGACCGGGAACAAAACAAAGAAAACCGGUGAAAAAACAAAGAAAACAUACAACCGAGAAAAACCAAGAAGAAAUUAAAAAUUGGAAGAGGGAAAAUUUUGAUUUGAACCAGUGAAGCGAUCUCUUGGGUGCCAGUAUACCUGCCAUGGGCCGGGCCUUAAAAAGCCCACGGCAGAAAACUAGGGCCCAUGCCCUACCAUCAGGCCUACUUUUCAAGCCCAAGCCCGACCCAUCUAGUAAAAAGCCCUUAGGGCUUAAGGUCGUGGGCCGGGCCUCUUCCUUAAAAUGCCAAUAUGCCAAGCCCAAGCCCGUCCAGGCCCUGCUGGUGGGCUCAAAACUCAGGCCCAAGCCCAGCCCACGGGCAAGCGCAUCAGGCCUAGGCCCUGGAUUUUAGGUCCGGGCCUGGGUGAGCCAACAGGGCCGGGACGGAGAUGGCCAGCACUAGGUGCCAGCGAUCGAAAAAAAGAUAAACGGGCCAACCCAGUUUCUAUGCGAGAUAAGAAGUCCUUCAGGUGAAAGAAGCUACCAUCUCGCUAUAAGCAAGAUAUAGAUUUCGGGGGCGCUAUUUAGGCAGCUGGCGAGCACACGUGAUCUUUUAUGUUUAUCUAUUCUGUUGGUUUUAUUUUUACUUUUAAAAAUAACAAUAUAUGAAAACAGCAGGCGGAAUUUUGAAAGUGGAUGCAUACAGGCAUCAAUUUUUUUUAAAUGGGAAUUGAUACAUUCUGUUUUAUCGGAAGCUGAUACAACAGGCCGGAUGUUUAACCGACAAAACUUGAAGCAACCGAAGUUUUUCAGCCUAUGACUUGCAACUGUGACGAGCCAGUGUACAUAUGCGCAUCAUUUGUUCUUUUUUUUUUACUGAUCAAGUAUAGAUUGAAGAGUACAGUACAGUGGAAGUGCGCUUUGUGAACUCGAAAUCACUCUGUGUGGCUUCGGUUUCGAGCUGAAUUGCGCUAUAGCUGCAGGUGUGUAUAGUUCACAACCUACAGACAGUCAGAGGCGACCUUCAUGCGAGUAAAUCAGCCGCUAGCACCAAGGCUUCUUUGAGCCAGAAAUACUUUCUGGAGGACAUGGACCAAAUCUCCAAGGUAGCACCCAAGUCACUCACGGGCCAAUGUGCGCAUUGUCUUUGUUGUUUUAGGGUGCGGGGAGCAGGUCGGCUUGCUGAUAUAUUGAGGCUUUACUUGCAAUAAUGUUAUCAGUACCAGAUAAUAGUUCAACCUGUUUUAUCCUCCGUCUUUUCUUGUAAUUUUCUAUUCACAUUGGCCAGUGAAUGACUUGGACCUGAAUCUCUCACACUCCAGACAUGACUUCCAUGUUGUUGCCGCUCUCUCUCACGCUAAACUGGAGGUAGACGCAUCACUUUUUUCUGGCGACCAACGCCCCGGCGCUCAAACGCCCUUUUUCUUUCAGCUGGCUCAGAUUACAUCAACGAUUACAAGGCCUUUUAUAGCCAUACAGCGACGUAGCGCCCACGCAACUCCUCCGGCCAAUACGCACACGUACACAACAAACUCCACAUGCAUCUACACAUGCAGCUUGAUCCGUACGUUCCGGCCGCGCGGAGCCGCGGACGACGCACUCCUAUACGCACGACGCGGCUGCCUCCAACGGCCCCUGCUGCAUGCACUAACAAACUGCAGACUAACUCAAACUGCUGACCAUCACGCCACACACAUACGCCCGCCACGCUCCCGAUCCGUCCCGCGCGCACACACGCAUGCCCGACGCGAUCGCGGUGGCUUAUGUCCAACAUUCCAGGAGCUGGAUCUGUUUGAUUGAGAAGAAACCUCUUUACGCCAGACCGUGCUGAAGCUGCUGCCUCAACUCUGAACGUAGUUGUCAACAUGGAAGGAAGAAUAUUUGCUUUGCACAAACCUGUUCCGCAAUCUUGUUUAUGGCCUACAAUGACAGUUAGUGAUCUAAAGUUCAAAUGGUUUUAAAGUUUUCAGCAACGAUGGCUGCAUGGUGGGAAUGCGAUUGCAUGCAUUGGGUAAGUGUUUAUGCUUGGUUUUUAUUCUACAUAUUUUUUAGAAAAGGUUUUUAUUCUACAUAUUGGAUUUGUUCAACAUAUGUUUAUGGCCUACAGAGGAUUUGAUCAUAUGCCGUUCUAAUUAAUUGCAUCAUCAUUUCGAAUUUCCGAGCCUGAUAUUGGCAUGUGAAAUGAAGAUCUUGCCAUUUGGCAAACUUGCAAUUUCUCCGAACUCUCCAUAUAGCUCACAGAACCAGCAACACAGCCUUGUUCGUCCCGUUUGUACAGCAAGAUGAACAUGACUUUGGACAUCAAGUGUAGUUGGACUCUUACGUUGAUAAGAAUGACAGGUAAGAAAGUGAUUUCGCGUAGAUUUAGUACUUUAGUCCAACUUCUCCGGAAUGCAAUAUGCAUGCCAAUAAGCAACAUGCUGAAUUACUAACAUUUGCAUUAGGAGGCGACAUCCCAUUGUAAUCGAAUGAUCGACUCACGCUUAAUUUGUGCUCUCUAAAUGAAAAUAGUAUGCCCUCUAAAUGAAGAUAGUAUGCCCAAAGAGAAUGGCUACAAACUAUAUAUGCUGUGACUGCAUGGCAGGAGAUGGAGCAGCAUAAGGUGCUUCGAAUUAUUAUGAUAUGCAUCUGCUGUUGGGAAUCAUUUUCUUAGAAGAUUUAGAUAAACAACAUUUUACGACCUGAGGUUUUAUUUUGAGAUAUUGGAGUCCACCAAAUCCAGUGAAAUCUCUUGUUGGCAUGCACUUCUUGUUCCGUAAAGCAAUUCCUGGUUAUAGUCUAGGUUCCUCGUCCACCUUCUUCACCAGUUGUCACCACAUUCUGUACGACUUUAUUACUGAUUCGGUAGGAGCUUCGAAACAGAGUGCAUCAGUCUAUGACCACACUCCAUACCACUUGAUUCUGCAGAAGCUUGGGAUACUUGGAGUAUAGCAAAGGGCGGCAUGUGUAUAAAAUAUAGUUUUGUGCCUUCAGACACAGAACAGUGGGUUUCCUGACAUUGCUCCGAGCUCGCUACUUCUCUUUCCCCAUCCCUUGUUCUUCCCAACAAAACAGACUUUGUAUUUCCGUUAUGCAAGUAAUGGAAAGGGGGUAGCCCAGUUCGGAAAAAAAUUGUACAAAUAUAGGAAAGUUUGUAAGUACCAAAUUUGGUACCCCGAAAUGAAUAUAAACCUCGGUUUCUUCUAGUCAAAUGAUUGAUCUCAACUAGUACUCCAACAUGAGUAAAAAGGUGUACUGCGGCUACCACAAAAAAACUCUGAAGUACCUCGACUUUACCAUGCAGUCACUUCCUUUUGAAGAGUUAACAAGAUCAACAGACUAUAUAUGCACGUAUGUCAUACUGUCGUGCCUCGUACCCAUGGCAAUCUUUGCCGCCAAGCUCUUCCACUCGGUGGAAGAAUGCAUCAAUGAGGGAGCAUUUCAUGCCGUGACUAAAAUCAUGACAAAAAUCAAGCACCGAUGUGUCGUCAAGCUAUAUGGCUUCUAUUCCCGCUCCCGAUGCAAAUUUCCGGUGUAGGAUCUUAUCAAGAGGGGGAGCUUACGCGUCCAUUCUGUGUGAGCGAGAGCUAGUGAAGGAGCUGGAUUGGUCCAGGAGAGUUGUUGUCGUGAGGAAUGCAGCUCAAGCUUUGUCGUACUUGCACCGUGAUUGUGAUGAUCCGAUCGUGCAUUGCGACAUAAAAAGCAGCAGCAUUCUCCUGGACCAUAAAGAGUAUAUGAAGCUGCAUAGCUAAUCUCUUAUAUAUUUGGCAUGUGUUUGUUUGAGAUAACUGAUCUAUCCUGUCAUGUUUCAACUUUGAAGUGUCCAGUUGAUAGAUGGAUAUAUGAAGGAAUUUAUGUGGAUUUUGUUGAUAGAUGAAGUGACAUUUUGAUUUGACAACGAGAGUGGUUUUUCUACACCCAGCUCGAUUUUGUUGAUAGAUGAAGCGACAUUGUUAAAUAGCUUUGCUUAUGUUUCACUAAGUUCCAGUUUGCUAAAAAAAACACUGAUAUUUGGUGGCAGUGCUUGGAUGAUAAUUAUGUGGUUGCUGUUGUCUAUUUUGCCUCUGAGUUUAUGUUUGCCCAAAGCCAUAUGGGAGAAAGACAUAACCGCGACAAGUCAGCCUCCAGGAAAAUUUGAUCACACUACCCAUAUCGGCCGUUCAUCAUAUGCCCUAAUUUGGUUCAUACAGGAAGGUGACUACAAUUCAUUACACGGAAAUUCUAUUUCACUAGUAGUAUCACUAUCGACACUAGAAGAAUGAUUUUUUUUCUUUUUUUUUCGAAAAGAGGGUUUACCCCAGCCUCUGCAUCAGAAAGAUGCAUACGGCUCAUAUUAUUAAAAAUAAAAUUCAGUAACAAAGUCUCCAAGUAUCGAGGUGCGAAAAAAAGUAAAAGCUCGAAAGAGCUGAAAUCCUAAGCCACAACCGGCUGGCAAACACAAUAGGAGCACUACAUGCCUAUCCUAUUACAUGACCGCCAUCCAAACCGGUUGAAAAUAUCCCGCACUACCAUCUCCCAUCGGGUAGACGCAGUAACCAAACGCUCCCUGGCCUCCGUCGGAGUGAGUAGCGACCACAUACGGAUGAAUGCCGUGGCCCUGAAGAUAACCUGCAAAAAGUGAAUGUUUGUUGAUCUGUUAAAUACUAAAUCAUUUCUGCAGUUCCAUACUGCCCAAAGUAAAGCACAAACGCCAACACGAAUGUGUCUUGUAGUAUCGGAAUCAACCCCAUCAAGCCAUGGUCCAAAUAACAUAUUGAUAGAGGUGGGCUGAUUAAUAUUAAACGCAAUAUGAAUCGACCGCCACAGAAUCUUAGCCAACGGACAAUCGAGGAAGAGAUGUUUGAUGUUUUCGUUAUUAUCGCAAAAGCUACACCUAGAUGAGCCCAUCCAGUUGCGUUUUGCCAGGUUAUCCUUAGUCAAAAUGACUUGUUUAUGCACAAACCACAUAAACACUUUGAUGCAUAAGGGAACCUUUACUCUCCAAACGUGAAUCGAGGAAGGGACAACGCUAGAGUUAAUGACAUCCAGAUACAUAGACUUAACCGAGAACGCACCAUUCUUAGUAAGUUUCCAAUGCAGCUGAUCUGGUUGCUGGGUCAGCCGAACCUCCAUUAAACGUCUAACAAGGUGGAGCCAAGCCUCCCAACGAUUUCCGACUAGCGUCCUCCGAAAACUAAUAUUGAGGGGAGUGGAUUGUAGAACAGAUGCAACGUAGGCUUCUCUACGUCGCACAAUAUUGUACAAAGUAGGAUAUUGAAGUGCAAGAGGAGUCUCCCCAAGCCACGUAUCCUCCCAAAAUCUCGUAGUGGCUCCAUUCCCGACAAUAAAUUUUGACUUGUUGAAAAAAAGUUGUUUGACUCUCAUCAAACCCUUCCAAAAAGGUGAGUCGGAAGGCCUCACAUUUACCUGGGCCAGGGUUUUAGCAUAAAGAUACUUAUUACGCAAAAUCUGAGCCCAAGUAGCUUCCGUCUCGGACGAAAGUUUAAAAAGCCAUUUGCUAAGGAGACAUAUGUUUUUAACUUCCAAAUUUUCAAUGCCUAGACCCCCUUGGUCCUUCGGCCUACAUAUUAUAUCCCACUUAGCAAGCCUAUACUUUUGUUUGAGGUCGUCAAUCUGCCAAAAGAACCGAGAUCGGUAGAAAUCUAACCUUUUCCUGACUCCCACCGGAACCUGGAAAAAGUAUAAGAGAAACAUAGGCAUACUGGUAAGGACCGAAUUAAUCAGAAUCAAUCGUCCUCCGUAUGACAUGAGCUUUCCUUUCCAACAGCUCAGUUUCUUUUCAAAGCGAUCCUCGAUGCAUUUCCACUCACUGUUAGUCAGCUUACGAUGAUGAAUGGGUAUACCUAAGUACGUAAAUGGUAAGGAACCCAAUUCACAUCCGAACAAUUGUUUAUACGUGUCCUGGUCCUCCUUUGCUCUUCCAAAGCAAAACAAUUCGCUCUUGUGAAAGUUAAUUUUGAGGCCAGAUAGUUGUUCAAAUAAGCAUAACAGCAGCUUCAUGUUUCUUGCUUUCGCCAAGUCGUGCUCCAUAAAGAUGAUUGUAUCAUCAGCAUACUGAAGAAUGGAAAUCCCUCCGUCAACUAGAUGUGGGACCAGGCCACCUACCUGCCCUGCAUCCUUUGCCCGACCUAUUAAGAUAGUGAGCAUAUCAGCCACUAUAUUAAACAGGAUCGGUGACAUCGGGUCUCUUUGCCUUAGCCCCUUGUGUGUUUGGAAAUAGUGACCUAUGUCGUCAUUCACUUUAAUCCCUACACUCCCUUUUUGCGUAAAGGAAUCAAUCUGGUUUCUCCAGGCCGGAUCAAAACCUUUCAUACGCAAAGCUUGUUGAAGGAAAGGCCAUUUAACUUUAUCAUAUGCUUUUUCAAAAUCCACUUUAAAAACUGCGCCAUCAAGUAUUUUUGAGUGGAUUUCAUGGAGCGUUUCAUGCAAGACAACAACCCCUUCAAGGAUGUUUCGAUCAGGCAUGAAAGCAGUCUGGGACGGAUGAACCACAGAGUGCGCAAACUGCGUAAGUCUGUUCGUCCCGACCUUGGUGAAGAUUUUGAAACUCACAUUAAGCAGACAUAUAGGUCUGAACUGCUCAAUGCGAACCGCGUCUGUCUUCUUAGGAAGAAGAGUUAUCGUUCCAAAAUUCAGCUUAAACAACUGAAGUUGUCGCUCAAAAAACUCCUAGAACAUGGGCAUCAAAUCACCCUUAAUAAAAUGCCAGCACUUUUUGUAGAACUCCGCCGGAAACCCAUCCGGUCCUGGAGCCUUAUUAUUCUCCAUCUGUGCAAUCGCUUCAAACACCUCUUUCUCAGAGAAAGGAGCAGUCAGGAGCUCAUUCUCGGCAGUCUCAAGUUGAAGAACAUCCUCAACCCUAGACUCAUCUAAAGACACAAAAUUCUCUUCCGGGGGACCAAACAACUGUUUAUAAUAAUUGGUAAUAUAGACUUUCAGAUUGUCUUGACCAACUAUCGUCCCUUCAUCUUGUUCUAACUAAAAAAUUCUCUUUUUACGAUGCUUCCCAUUAGCGAUCAAAUGAAAGAAUUGAGUAUUGUCCUCUCCUUGUACUAUCUUGCGAACCUUAGCUCGCAACGCCCACUUCAAUUCCUCCUCGCGAAGAAGCUGUUUAAGUCGCAUCUCCGCCUCUAUCUUUGUUUCCAACUCACUGGAAUCCAAGAUAGAAGUUUCAGCUUUAACUUCAAGGUUUUGAAUAAGUAGAAGAAGUCUCUCCUUCUCCGCCUUAUAAAUACCAUCCGUGUGCUUAGCCCAUCCUCGAAGGAACCUUCAGAGAUGACGAAUCUUACAUUGCCAUCGCUUGAUAGGCGUCCUUCCUCCUGAGUCAUUAGCCCACUCCCGAGCUAACAACUCAAGGAAACCUUCUCCUUCAAACCAGGCAAGUUCAAACGAGAAAAUGUUCUUGUUGCCCACAAACGUUUGAACCCCUGAAUCAACUAGUAACGGUGUAUGGUCAGAGACACCCCUUGUCAAUGCCUGCACGGUUACCAGAGGAAACUUCUGUUCCCAUUCGACACUUGCUAAGACACGGUCAAGUUUCUCAAACGUCGGGACCGGUAACGAAUUAGCCCAAGUGAAUUUCCUACCCGAAAGCUCUAUCUGUCUGAGAUCCAAACUUUCGAUAAUAGUGUUGAACAUAAACGACCAUCGGCCGUCAAAAUUGUCAUUAUUCUUCUCCUCCUUCCUACGAAUAAUGUUGAAAUCCCCCCCCCCCACUAAGAGGGGUAGCUGUUCGUUACCACAAAUACGAACCAGAUCCGCCAAAAAGUCUGGCUUGAGCUCUGGUUGCGCAGCUUCGCACACCGCCACCAAAGCCCAAUCAAACCCAUCUGCCUUAGUUCGAACUCGGAACUUGACGGCAAAAUCCCCAAAAACUACACUCUGGACUUCCAACGUUUCGCACUUAACCCCAAGUAAAACCCCACCGGAUCUUCCUCGAGGGGGGAGGCANNNNNNNNNNNNNNNNNNNNNNNNNNNNNNNNNNNNNNNNNNNNNNNNNNNNNNNNNNNNNNNNNNNNNNNNNNNNNNNNNNNNNNNNNNNNNNNNNNNNNNNNNNNNNNNNNNNNNNNNNNNNNNNNNNNNNNNNNNNNNNNNNNNNNNNNNNNNNNNNNNNNNNNNNNNNNNNNNNNNNNNNNNNNNNNNNNNNNNNNNNNNNNNNNNNNNNNNNNNNNNNNNNNNNNNNNNNNNNNNNNNNNNNNNNNNNNNNNNNNNNNNNNNNNNNNNNNNNNNNNNNNNNNNNNNNNNNNNNNNNNNNNNNNAAGUGGCAAGAAAUUGUGAAGUGAAGUUACUUCUUCUAGUCUCAGACAAAGCAAUAAAAUCUAAACGAUGUUCAAGAGAAGCCUCCGCUAGAAAUCUUCUUUUAACCAAGUCUCUAAGACCUCUGCUAUUCCAGAAAAUGCCUCUCAUAAUUCAUCAUAAAAAAAAUUUGCAGUGCGGAUCCUAGCACUCCUACGUGCAGCCGAGACUGGAUAAACCUUCCGUUUCCACGUCCGCUUUGGCUUAUGGUGACCAUCAGCCUGGUCAGCACAGGCAUUCUCAUCUUCUAUCGCCUCGGGCUCAUCUACAUAGAGAGACACCUCAGGAAUGGUAUCCUCCUCCGUCUCGGGUAGUGCAGGGUCAAGAUCGGCACACAAGUCAUCAAGAACCCUAACCCCCAGCGCCUCUAUCUCCGAGUCGUUCAUAGGUUUAACAGCAGCAAUGUGACGGAUCAUAUCUACCGCACGAUCAGCUUCCAAAUCAAGAAUGUCAUUAACCGACCUAGAGACCUCAAACUCAUUGUUACCAAGUGAAACUCCAAUUUGAUUUGCAUUAUGAAUAAUUUCAGCAUCAGUAAAAUGCAAAAUGGAAUUGGACUGAUUAACCGACAUACCAGUGGAGGUUUCGACGUCGCACAGCUUGGCAGCUCUCAAAACAGACCUCAGCUGCAUGUCAUCAACGUCCGGCUGCUCCCGCAGCCUCCCGCUGACCCGCCUCCCCUGGGAGACUGGGUCCGGGAUACCGCCAAAGGCGAUGACCUCCUCGCGUGAAACUUUGCAAUCUGGGCGGUCACCUCACCAAGUCGUUCAUUCAAUGCUGCAUACUUGGCAUCAAAUUCAGCUCUCAUGGCAUCAAGUCUAGCGGUUAUGGCAUCAAGUUCAACCCUCAUGGCAUCAUCGUGUCGCUGCAUUUCUCGCGACACGCUAAGAGCUGCCGCGUUUCUCAUCCAAAUCUCCGCGACCAUGUCCAAGUACCUGUCCAGCCACAUGAAGAAACGCCAGCCUUUC